rnacentral:tRNA from 1 species
AGUCCUGUAGCUCAGGGGUUAGAGCACUCGCCACUUAAGUGAGAGGCCUGGGUUCGAUUCCCGGUAGGGCGA